CGGACGAGAAGCUUGCUUCUCUGAUGUUAGCGGCGGACGGGUGAGUAACACGUGGAUAACCUACCUAUAAGACUGGGAUAACUUCGGGAAACCGGAGCUAAUACCGGAUAAUAUUUUGAACCGCAUGGUUCAAAAGUGAAAGACGGUCUUGCUGUCACUUAUAGAUGGAUCCGCGCUGCAUUAGCUAGUUGGUAAGGUAACGGCUUACCAAGGCAACGAUGCAUAGCCGACCUGAGAGGGUGAUCGGCCACACUGGAACUGAGACACGGUCCAGACUCCUACGGGAGGCAGCAGUAGGGAAUCUUCCGCAAUGGGCGCAAGCCUGACGGAGCAACGCCGCGUGAGUGAUGAAGGUCUUCGGAUCGUAAAACUCUGUUAUUAGGGAAGAACAUAUGUGUAAGUAACUGUGCACAUCUUGACGGUACCUAAUCAGAAAGCCACGGCUAACUACGUGCCAGCAGCCGCGGUAAUACGUAGGUGGCAAGCGUUAUCCGGAAUUAUUGGGCGUAAAGCGCGCGUAGGCGGUUUUUUAAGUCUGAUGUGAAAGCCCACGGCUCAACCGUGGAGGGUCAUUGGAAACUGGAAAACUUGAGUGCAGAAGAGGAAAGUGGAAUUCCAUGUGUAGCGGUGAAAUGCGCAGAGAUAUGGAGGAGCACCAGUGGCGAAGGCGACUUUCUGGUCUGUAACUGACGCUGAUGUGCGAAAGCGUGGGGAUCAAACAGGAUUAGAUACCCUGGUAGUCCACGCCGUAAACGAUGAGUGCUAAGUGUUAGGGGGUUUCCGCCCCUUAGUGCUGCAGCUAACGCAUUAAGCACUCCGCCUGGGGAGUACGACCGCAAGGUUG
rnacentral:rRNA from 1 species